rnacentral:lncRNA from 1 species
CCCAUAUGAAAAUCUAAAUUUAUGAGGUUUUCUAACGUAAAUAUGAGUUCCCCUAGCCUGCCUAUGGUCCCACAGUGGCUAAAACUUGCGUUUGGUGUAAAACAAGCACUAGCUGUUCUGCUCACCUUUGAAAAAACGGAGGCUCAAGCGCGCUGAUUUGGAAUGUCUGUAUUCAUGACGUCACCAAGAAUCUCAGCUCCUCCCCUUACUCUGCCUGGCCCGCCCAGAGACGUUGGCCCGCCAAUGAGACUCGACCGUGCGAGCGCCACAUGUGUGUGUGUGUGUGUGUGUGUGUGUGUGUGUGUGUGUGUGUGUGUGUGUGUGUGUGUGUGUUUGUGUGUGUGUGUGAAUACACACACUGUAACGCAAGUGUUUCUUGCCGGUUCUUUGACGUGUCUUGUAUUUCCACAACGAGACUGUUGUGGGGGUUAUCUGAGCCACAGGCAGCGCGCGGUUCAGUCGACUUCAGGUUGAUGUGAAAGUGGAAGAACCAGAGACGUCGCAGAACCCGACAAAGUCGUUUGUGAUUAAUAAUAUCGUCUGGAGGCGCACACAGCUUUUGGCCGUGAUAAUGUGUAUUAAAUGAUACCGAUUUCUAUGUAUUAUAUGAUAUUAUUUAGAUAUAGAGCUCCAGGACUGUAACGCAAGUGUUGUACACUUCCUCAUCGGACUCUCGUCUCUGGUAUUUCUACAACGAGACUCGUAUUGGGGGUUAUCUCAGCCAAGGUUGAGAAUGAAUUGGGGGGAAGGAACUUUGGCUUUGACUCCCUCAAACACAUGAACCACGACAUGGAGGAGAAAGGGAUUGUUGGCGGCGAAUGUCUCCCGCUUGAGCCCCGCUGAGGGAACACCGCCGGAGGCGAAGGUUCCUAAGACCGGCAACGAUCCCUUUCUCCUCCUUGUCGCGGUUCAGUCUACUUCACUUUGAUGAGGACGUUGAAGAACCAGGAACGUCAAACGAGGUCGUUUGAGAUUCAUAAUAUCGGCUCACACAGCUUUUGGCCGUGAUAAUAUAUAUUAUAUGAUAUAUCUAUGUAGGCUAUAUGAUAAUAUUUAGAUAUAGAGCUCCAGGACUCCCGUGUGUUCUAGAAUAUUUACAGAACACGGCUAAAGGCUGUGUGCGCCUCGCCAUUGCGAUACAUCCACUGUAAACAGAGCGCAUGGUACCGUGGCUGCAAGCUGCUCAGGGCCACACCCCCACCCUCCUCCUUGACCCGCCUCGCUCCUCCUCAUUUGCAUUAUAGCUACAGACACCAAAACAGCGCAUUUGGGGGAAGCUCAAUGUGCGACUGGCUCGGAGUGGCUGCAUCUCUGCACCACGGCUGAAUUUCGGGAACGUCUUUGAAUACUGUGUUAGUUGCCCACUAAUACCUAUAUUAAAGAAUACAUAAAAUAGCAUGUCAUGGGACCUUUAAUUUAUAUAGUUGGAUUUACAUAGUUAGAGAAAACAAACAGCUUGUCAUCAAAAUAAUCUGGAUGUAGAGCUCGCUCUGCUUCCUAGCACAUUUGGCUGCGUCUUGCUCUAACAUUUUUUUCCUUUUCAACCUCAACUUCUGAGCGCCACCCAAUUAUUUUUCCUCUCCACCACCUUUUUUCCUUUUUGACAUUUUCGUAUUUCUGUGUAACUUCAGCGAGAUCAACGAGAAGUAAGGGACCCGGCCGUGUGUCAGGCUGAGCCAAUCAGAAAUUACAGACCGCGGAGCAGUCCAAGUUGGGAGGGGCCGUUCGGCCGCUCGCUUUGGCCGCUCGCUUUGCCCCCAUACACUGUGGGGGUGCUCCCCCCUCUAAAUUGACAGUAAUACAUCAGCCCCGUUUCACCGUCAG